rnacentral:rRNA from 1 species
GACGAACGCUGGCGGCGUGCUUAACACAUGCAAGUCGAACGGUGAAAGCGGAGCUUGCUCCGCUGGAUCAGUGGCGAACGGGUGAGUAACACGUGGGCAACCUGCCCCUCACUUCGGGAUAACUCCGGGAAACCGGGGCUAAUACCGGAUAUGACCUCCUUGGGCAUCCUUGGAGGUGGAAAGUUUUUCGGUGAGGGAUGGGCCCGCGGCCUAUCAGCUUGUUGGUGAGGUAGUGGCUCACCAAGGCGACGACGGGUAGCCGGCCUGAGAGGGCGACGGGCCACACUGGGAUUGAGACACGGCCCAGACUCCUACGGGAGGCAGCAGUGGGGAAUAUUGCGCAAGGGGCGAAAGCCUGACGCAGCAACGCCGCGUGCGGGAUGACGGCCUUCGGGUUGUAAACCGCUUUCAGCAGGGAAGAAGCCGCAAGGUGACGGUACCUGCAGAAGAAGCACCGGCUAACUACGUGCCAGCCGCCGCCGUAA